rnacentral:rRNA from 1 species
UACAGAGGUCUCAAGCGUUGUUCGGAUUCAUUGGGCGUAAAGGGUGCGUAGGCGGCGCGGUAAGUCGGGUGUGAAAUCUCGGAGCUUAACUCCGAAACUGCAUUCGAUACUGGCGUGCUUGAGGACUGGAGAGGAGACUGGAAUUCACGGUGUAGCAGUGAAAUGCGUAGAUAUCGUGAGGAAGACCAGUGGCGAAGGCGGGUCUCUGGACAGUUCCUGACACUGAGGCACGAAGGCCAGGGGAGCAAACGGG